UACAGAGGUCUCAAGCGUUGUUCGGAUUCAUUGGGCGUAAAGGGUGCGUAGGUGGCGCUGUAAGUCGGGUGUGAAAUUUCGGAGCUUAACUCCGAAACUGCAUUCGAUACUGCGGUGCUUGAGGACUGGAGAGGAGACUGGAAUUCAUGGUGUAGCAGUGAAAUGCGUAGAUAUCUGGAGGAACACCGGUGGCGAAGGCGGCAUCCUGGACCGGUAUUGACGCUGAGGCGCGAAAGCCAGGGGAGCAAACGGG
rnacentral:rRNA from 1 species